rnacentral:rRNA from 1 species
UGGGGGAUAUUGCACAAUGGGCGAAAGCCUGAUGCAGCAACGCCGCGUGAGGGAAGACGGUCUUCGGAUUGUAAACCUUUAGCUUUGGGGAAGAAAAAAAUGACGGUACCCAAAGGAGCAGCCACGGCUAACUACGUGCCAGCAGCCGCGGUAAUACGUAGGUGGCAAGCGUUGUCCGGAAUUACUGGGUGUAAAGGGAGCGCAGGCGGGGAAACAAGUCAGCUGUGAAAUAUAUCGGCUUAACCGGUAGGCUGCAGUUGAAACUGUAUCUCUUGAGUGAAGUAGAGGUAGGCGGAAUUCCGAGUGUAGCGGUGAAAUGCGUAGAGAUUCGGAGGAACACCAGUGGCGAAGGCGGCCUACUGGGCUUUAACUGACGCUGAGGCUCGAAAGUGUGGGGAGC